GUGCUUGGGCGAGAGUAGUACUAGGAUGGGUGACCCCCUGGGAAGUCCUCGUGUUGCACCCCGCCCCCCAUCUUUUUCAUUUUUUUUUUUUUCCUUUUUUAGGGGCAAGGUUAUAAAAGGAAACGCGCGUAGGAGUGAACGUGGCUUAGAAAACGACCACGCGCGACGUAAAACUCACAACGUGCGGCACCGACCCUGGAAAUAUAAGCGCAAAAUCGGAUAAUCGUAACGGUUGGGAAUAUAGGAGUUAAAAUGGAACAGGAAAA
rnacentral:rRNA from 1 species